UACGUAGGUGGCAAGCGUUGUCCGGAUUUAUUGGGCGUAAAGAGCGUGUAGGCGGCCAGGUAGGUCUGGUGUGAAAACUCGAGGCUUAACCUCGAGAUGUCAUCGGAAACCAUCUGGCUAGAGUCCGGAAGAGGAGAGUGGAAUUCCUGGUGUAGCGGUGAAAUGCGCAGAUAUCAGGAGGAACACCGGUGGCGAAGGCGGGUCUCUGGGCCGAUACUGACGCUGAGGAGCGAAAGCGUGGGGAGCGAACAGG
rnacentral:rRNA from 1 species